rnacentral:rRNA from 1 species
UCCUGGCUUAGGAUGAACGCUAGCUACAGGCUUAACACAUGCAAGUCGAGGGCAGCAUAUCGAAGCUUGCUUGAUAGAUGGCGACCGGCGCACGGGUGAGUAACGCGUAUCCAACCUUCCCAUCACUCAGGGAUAGCCCGCCGAAAGGCGAAUUAAUACCUGAUGGUCUCCUUCGCGGACAUCUAACGAGGAGUAAAGAUUUAUUGGUGAUGGAUGGGGAUGCGUCUGAUCAGGUAGUAGGCGGGGUAACGGCCCACCUAGCCGACGAUCAGUAGGGGUUCUGAGAGGAAGGUCCCCCACAUUGGAACUGAGACACGGUCCAAACUCCUACGGGAGGCAGCAGUGAGGAAUAUUGGUCAAGUGGACGGAAGUCUGAACCAGCCAAGUAGCCGUGCAGGAUGACGGCCCUAUGGGUUGUAAACUGCUUUUGUGCGGGAAUAAAGUUUGGGACGUGUCCCAUUUUGCAUGUACCGCACGAAUAAGGACCGGCUAAUUCCGUGCCAGCCGCGGC